AUGGAGGAGGGCGCAGCCGACGCAGAUGGAGGGGUGGAAGGCAUGGUGGAGGAGGGCCACGGUGCUGCACCUGCACCGGGCGGCCAUGGUGGGGAGGCGGGGGCGGCCGCCCUAACCCUAGACGCGGAGCGCAAGGCCCACAGCGGCUAUGCGGCGCGAGGAGCGGCAUGGAGGAGGGCGUGGCCGACACGGAUGGCGAGGUGGAAGCCACGAUGGAGGAGUGCCACGGCGCUGCACCGGGCGGCCAUGGUGGAUAGGCGGGGCGGCCAAGCACUAGAGGAAUGGGGAGGGUGUGAUGUGCAAGGCAAAUCACGGCACCAGAGGGCCACGACGCUGCACUGCGCGGCCAUGGUGGGGAGGCAGAGGGCGGCCAAGCAGUGGAGGAGGGGCGAGGCAGCGCAGUGCAGGGCACUACAUCGGCUUGGCUAG
rnacentral:rRNA from 1 species